ensembl:snRNA U2 U2 spliceosomal RNA
AUCGCUUCUCGGCCUUUUGGCUAAGAUCAAGUGUAGAACUAAUAAAGUCUAUUUAUUGAAGCUACUGCUGGUACCUUAUCAACCUGUCAGUGGUGGCUUGUGAUCUGUUUGUGGCUUAUAUAGUGCACAGCAUAGCACAGUUUUC